rnacentral:lncRNA from 1 species
CAGGAACAGAUUUAUUCAGUGCCUGGAAUAACAAAAGCCUCAGCUGGGAUGAAAGGGAAAAACAUCUCCACGAUACCAAACAUUUAAAGGAAGUUUUGAUCUGAUGCAGUUUAAUGUGUACACAGAGGGGGGAAAAUUCUCAGAGAAUUUUGCUGCUUUUAACUAAGAUGAAAUGUUUGAUAUCCUUGUGGGUUCAGCCACUAUUAGGAACAGCAUCGGAUCACAAUCCCACAAAAGAAUAACAAAGGGUUGGGGGGAAGCAGCGGGAUGCCCUCAGUGUUAUUUUUACAGGAGAAAUGAGUCUUUCUCUAAUGGGAUGGGAAAGAAGAGUUUCAUGCAAAUCACCGGGAGAGACUCAGCUUUGUCUUUAAGUUUGGGGAUGAUCCAAAUCCUGGCUCAGCCCCUGCUGCGACACCGGCACGGGGAAGGAGAAAACAUGGGGAAAACAGGGCAGGGAGAGAAAGGGAGAAAUGGAGAGAGAGGGAGAGAAAGGGAGAGAAAGAGAAAGAAAGAGAGAAAGGGAGAUAAAGGAAGAGAAAUGGAAAGGGAGAGAAAGGGAGAGAAAGAGAAAGAAAGAGAGAGAAAGAGAGAGAAAGGGAGAGAAAGAGAGAGAGAGAGAAAGGAAGAUAAAGGAAGAGAAAUUGAAAGGGAGAGAAAGGGAGAGAAAGAGAAAGAAAGAGAGAAAGAGAGAGAAAGAGAAAGAAAGAGAGAGAAAGAGAGCGAAAGGGAGAGAAAGGAAGAUAAAGGAAGAGAAAUGGAGAGAAAGGGAGAGAAAGGGAGAAAUGGAGAGAAAUGGAGAGAAAGGGAGAAAAAGGGAGAGAAAGGGAGAGAAAGAGAAAGGGAGAGAAAGGGAGAGAAAGGAAGACGAAGAGGAAAAAAAAGGGAGAGAAAGGAAGGGAAAGAAGAGAAAGAAAAAGGAAGAGAAAGGGAGAGAAAGAGAAAGAAAAAGAGAAAGAAAAAGAGAAAGAGAAAGAGAAAGAGAAAGAGAAAGAGAAAGAGAAAGAGAAAGAGAAAGA